UACGUAGGGGGCAAGCGUUGUCCGGAAUUAUUGGGCGUAAAGCGCGCGCAGGCGGCGAGGUAAGUCUGGUGUUUAAGCUCGGGGCUCAACCCCGAUACGCCCCGGAAACUGCCUGGCUUGAGUGCAGAAGAGGAAAGUGGAAUUCCACGUGUAGCGGUGAAAUGCGUAGAGAUGUGGAGGAACACCAGUGGCGAAGGCGACUUUCUGGGCUGUAACUGACGCUGAGGCGCGAAAGCGUGGGGAGCAAACAGG
rnacentral:rRNA from 1 species